GUGGAUGUAGCUCAAUGGCGGAGCACCAGACUGUGGCUCUGGGGGCUGUGGGUUCGAGUCCCAUCAUCCACCCCA
rnacentral:tRNA from 1 species